rnacentral:lncRNA from 1 species
GCAUCCAAGCUUCUUUGCGCUGGCAGCAAGUCAUCCUUAGAAGCUCAAAAUUUAGACUUAUAUGAAGAGGUUGAUAGUUCUUCUGUGAUUGAUAAAUAACUAGUUCCAAAUAACCAAUGAAAUAAUAAUGGACAAUUUCCUCAAAAUAAAAAAAAUUAACAGGCAUGACAGUGCUUUGGUAACAUAAACUUUCUUUUAUCGUACAUACUUGUAAUAUGAGAUGGCAAAGUCAUCUCAUAUAUUCAAAUUUUAGAUUUAAUGUAUUUAGUCUCACAUUGGUUAUGUACUGAAAAAAAUUUGAAUACUUGUAGGAAACAUGAUAUCCAAAUAAUAUGUUAGUCUUUUUUUUUAUGGGGUUCUAUUAAAAAUGAUAUCAUAUUGGAAUAACGGAUAAUUUCCUCAAAAUAAAAAAAAUUAACAGGCAUGAUAGUACUUUAGUAACAUAAACUUUGAUAUGACAGUACUUUGGUAACAUAAACUUCUUUUAUCAUAUGUACUUGUAAUAAUUGAUGACAAAAUCAUCUCAUAUUUGUAUUUAGUCUCACAUUGAUUGUGUGUUGAAAAAAUUUUGAAUACUUGUAGAAGAACAUGAAAUCCAAAUAAUAUGUUAGCAUUUUUAUUUUUUUUUUAAUGAGGUUCUGUUAAAAAUGGUAUCAUAGUGGAACCAAUUUAUAGUUCAUAUGGGUUAGGAGAUACUACAGUAUAGAUUUAUUUGGGAUCGACCAUUAUAUAUGGUAAAAAAAUUUAAAUAAUAUAUUUUGACUAAUUUUUUUUGAAUGAGAUCCCAAGCUGUUAUGCCUUGGAAGUUAACAAAGAUGUAUCUCGCUUGUGCCUUUUUUGAUAGCAUAUAGGCAUCUAGGAAGACCUUUGUCCCCUUAAAUUUUUGAAUAUUUAUAUCCUAUGGUUAAUUCUCAAAUAUGAAUACAUGAUCAUUAGGAAAUCACAAUCAUGGAUCUCUACCAAAAAUAUGAGCAUUAACAAUCGACCAUCUUGGAGUCACUUCUAAUGUUCCUCUUUUAUUGUUACUUCUAUCAAUCAAUCAUCUUCUCAUCUUCCAGUUUACUGAUUUAAAUAAUUAUGUUUUUGGCUCCUCGUUUAUUUCAGUUCAGCGGUUCACUUCCACUGUGUACUUGCAGGAGUACCAACCAAAUUUGUUCGACUCGUGAACUCAAAGUUUACCGGGAAACAUGAAAAAGAGGUACCUACCAAGCAAUGCAAAUCAUCAAUUGGUGACGGUUGGAAGACCAAAAAUCAUGGUCUUAAAUUUAUUUUCCUAAAAUAUAUUGUACCCAC